AAAACAUUGUUAGCCGUACGGAACCUCUUGUACUUUGCGGAAACCGAGGCCCUUGUAAAGGGAGGCCUCCAGAAAGCUUGCCUUAAGUACAUGAGGAGUGAGCUCUAGUCAGUAAAGGUUCAGCACCUAUUUCUAAUUCGACUUUAUCUGCAAGUCCCCUCAGGGUGUUUUUUUUUUUAAUUGCUCCUAAGGGGACCGUGCAAAAUCUGGAGGGAUUUUUGAUCAAAACUGGAGUUGGGGGGUGCUACUGGCCUCUAGUGGUUAGUCCCCACAGAGAAGUAGUGGGACCAGAGUAGUAGUGUUGAGAUUGAGAAACCCUGCUCCAAAGUGAUGCCUACAGCAAAGUGAAGAUUCCAGAAAGCUGUGGAGUGCGUUCUCUUAGUACUGAGCAAUGACACAGUAACUAUCCGGACCAGGAAGUUCAUGACUAACCGACUACUUCAGCGGAAACAGAUGGUCAUUGAUGUUCUUCACCCUGGAAAGGCAACGGUACCUAAGACAGAAAUUCGGGAAAAACUAGCCAAAAUGUACAAGACCACACCAGAUGUCAUAUUUGUGUUUGGAUUCAGAACCCAUUUUGGUGGUGGCAAGACAACCGGCUUUGGCAUGAUUUAUGAUUCUUUGGAUUAUGCAAAGAAAAAUGAACCCAAACACAGACUUGCAAGAGUAGGUGUUCUCAUUGUUCAACAGCUGCUGAAGACUGUUUUUCAAUAGCAUUGUGUUGUGGGUGCAGUGGAAUGAGCAAGAGCAAGCAGUCUGGGGAAGGACAGCCCUCAGACUUAAGGAACUAAAGUGGUUAAGAGAGAAGGUUGUUUGAUAAAUAUAUAGAUAGAGUACAGGGCUUCAGUAAUGGGGUCUGCAGCUUUUGAGGAGGUGACCUUUGAGCUGGGUCUAGAAGGACAAGUAAUGUAGUACUUGUGGAGAUAGGAGCUGGAAAUAG